UGUAUUUAUUAGAUUAAAAACCAAUGCCCUUCGGGGCUCCUUGGUGAUUCAUAAUAACUUAACGAAUCGCAUGGCCUUGUGCCGGCGAUGGUUCAUUCAAAUUUCUGCCCUAUCAACUUUCGAUGGUAGUAUAUGGGACUACCAUGGUUUCAACGGGUAACGGGGAAUUAGGGUUCUAUUCCGGAGAGGGAGCCUGAGAAACGGCUACCACAUCCAAGGAAGGCAGCAGGCGCGCAAAUUACCCAAUCCCGACACGGGGAGGUAGUGACAAUAAAUACUGAUACAGGGCUCUUUUGGGUCUUGUAAUUGGAAUGAGUACAAUUUAAAUCCCUUAACGAGGAACAAUUGGAGGGCAAGUCUGGUGCCAGCAGCCGCGGUAAUACCAGCUCCAAUAGCGUAUAUUAAAGUUGUUGCAGUUAAAAAGCUCGUAGUUGAACCUUGGGCCUGGCUGGCCGGUCCGCCUCACCGCGUGUACUGGUCCGGCCGGGCCUUUCCUUCUGGAGAGCCCCAUGCCCUUCACUGGGCGUGUGGGGGAACCAGG
rnacentral:rRNA from 1 species